rnacentral:misc_RNA from 1 species
AAGUCGUAACAAGGUUUCCGUAGGUGAACCUGCGGAGGGAUCAUUAGAAAAAUCCAAACCCGCGUGUGCGGCACGGCCUUGCGCCGCGUCCGCCGCGCAACCCCUAUAUAUGCCUGGGCUCGUUGCCGGAUCUUGCGUCUGGCGGCGGCCUAGUUGCUUACUAUAUACACCUGACUACUGCUGCGGGCCCUUGUGGCUUGCGUAGUAUACUGAACCUCUUUUUCUUCCCCUUUGCUUGCAAUCUCAUUGCCUGCGCAGGAUGGAAUAAAAUAACUUUAAACAACUUUCAACAAUGGAUCCCUCGGCUCUCC